GUCAGAUGUUAUACAGUCAGAUAUUAGACAGUCAGAGGUUAUACAGUCAGAUUAUACAGUCAGAUUAUACAGUCAGAUGUUAUACAGUCAGAUGUUAUACAGUCAGAUUAUAGAGUCAGAUUAUACAGUCAAAGAUUAUACAGUCAGAGGUUAUACAGUCAGAGAUUAUACAGUCAGAGGUUAUACAGUCAGAGGUUAGACAGUCAGAGGUUAUACAGUCAGAGGUUAUACAGUCAGAGGUUAUACAGUCAGAUUAUACAGUCAGAGAUUAUACAGUCAGAGGUUAUACAGUCAGAGGUUAUACAGUCAGAUUAUACAGUCAGAGAUUAUACAGUCAGAUUAUACAGUCAGAGGUUAUACAGUCAGAUUAUACAGUCAGAGGUUAUACAGUCAGAGGUUAUACAGUCAGAUUAUACAGUCAGAGGUUAUACAGUCAGAGAUUAUACAGUCAGAUUAUACAGUCAGAGGUUAUACAGUCAGGUUAUACAGUCAGAUUAUACAGUCAGAGGUUAUACAGUCAGAGGUUAUACAGUCAGAGGUUAUACAGUCAGAGGUUAUACAGUCAGAUUAUACAGUCAGAGAUUAUACAGUCAGGUUAUACAGUCAGAGGUUAUACAGUCAGUUCUCUGUCAGUUUAACAAAAGUUUUAAACAUUUGUUUGUUUGUUUGUUUGUUUGUUUACAACUGAGCAGCCAUAAGUAAAAGGACAGCCUUACAUUGAAG